AGAAUGAGUCUGGUGGGUGUAUUCCCAGAUGGGUGGGUCGGGUGGGGAGAGGUAGACCAGGGUUCAGAGAUGGUGGGCUCUACUCGUCAUUGUCUGGCUGUGUUCUGAGAGGCCAACAAGAGGCUAGAUACUAGAAGGGAGGUGAAGAUGGAGGCUGGCCUGAACCCGGACAAGGAGAUCCUGCCAAACUGACUCUAGCCCAAGAGAGAGGGAAAGAGGGGCCCUCAAAACCACCAGUUAAUGAAGGCAAAAGAACUCCCUAAUGGCAGAGAAAGACCUUUCACUGGAGAAGCAUUUAGAGAUAGAAAACUUCCCCUGAGGACCCCCUUUGCUGCAUUCCAUAAGUUUUGGAAGGAUGUACCAAUUCACAGCCCCAUCAACACUGCAUCAAUGUGCUCCUCUUCUAUAGAGUGUGAUCUUGACAUUAGAGUAUAAGCUCCUUGAAGGCAAGGACUCUUUUUCAUUUUUUAUAUUGUAUCCCUAACA